UGGGGAAUAUUGCACAAUGGGCGCAAGCCUGAUGCAGCCAUGCCGCGUGUGUGAAGAAGGCCUUCGGGUUGUAAAGCACUUUCAGCGGGGAGGAAGGCGGUGAGGUUAAUAACCUCACCGAUUGACGUUACCCGCAGAAGAAGCACCGGCUAACUCCGUGCCAGCAGCCGCGGUAAUACGGAGGGUGCAAGCGUUAAUCGGAAUUACUGGGCGUAAAGCGCACGCAGGCGGUCUGUUAAGUCAGAUGUGAAAUCCCCGGGCUCAACCUGGGAACUGCAUCUGAUACUGGCAAGCUUGAGUCUCGUAGAGGGGGGUAGAAUUCCAGGUGUAGCGGUGAAAUGCGUAGAGAUCUGGAGGAAUACCGGUGGCGAAGGCGGCCCCCUGGACGAAGACUGACGCUCAGGUGCGAAAGCGUGGGGAGCAAACAGG
rnacentral:rRNA from 1 species